GAUGAACGCUGGCGGCGUGCUUAACACAUGCAAGUCGAGCGAGAAAAGUUCUUCGGAGCUUUUCUAGCGGCGGACGGGUGAGUAACACGUGGGCAACCUGCCUCAUAGAGGGGAAUAGCCUUCCGAAAGGAAGAUUAAUACCGCAUAACAUUGUUGAAAGGCAUCGUUUAACAAUCAAAGGAGCAAUCCGCUAUGAGAUGGGCCCGCGGCACAUUAGCUAGUUGGUGAGGUAACCGCUCACCAAGGCGACGAUGCGUAGCCGACCUGAGAGGGUGAUCGGCCACAUUGGAACUGAGACACGGUCCAGACUCCUACGGAAGGCAGCAGUGGGGAAUAUUGCACAAUGGGGGAAACCCUGAUGCAGCAACGCCGCGUGAGUGAUGAAGGUCUUCGGAUUGUAAAGCUCUGUCUUUAGGGACGAUAAUGACGGUACCUAAGGAGGAAGCCACGGCUAACUACGUGCCAGCAGCCGCAGUAACAC
rnacentral:rRNA from 1 species